GACGAACGCUGGCGGCGUGCUUAACACAUGCAAGUCGAACGGUAAGGCCCUUCGGGGUACACGAGUGGCGAACGGGUGAGUAACACGUGGGUGAUCUGCCCUGCACUUCGGGAUAAGCCUGGGAAACUGGGUCUAAUACCGGAUAGGACACCGGACUGCAUGGUCUGGGGUGGAAAGCUUUUGCGGUGUGGGAUGGGCCCGCGGCCUAUCAGCUUGUUGGUGGGGUGAUGGCCUACCAAGGCGACGACGGGUAGCCGGCCUGAGAGGGUGACCGGCCACACUGGGACUGAGAUACGGCCCAGACUCCUACGGGAGGCAGCAGUGGGGAAUAUUGCACAAUGGGCGCAAGCCUGAUGCAGCGACGCCGCGUGAGGGAUGACGGCCUUCGGGUUGUAAACCUCUUUCAGCAUAGACGGAGCGAAAGUGACGGUAGGUGCAGAAGAAGGACCGGCCAACUACGUGCCAGCCGCCGCGGUAA
rnacentral:rRNA from 1 species